AUUUUGAGGGGAGAAAUGUUUCUUUUUAUACAGAAACUCCGUGGUACACCAGGAGGCAUAUAUAUGACUGAGUGUGCUUCUGCAGCAGCAUUUGUCCUAUGAUAACUGUGAAAUGUUUGGUGAAGAUAGACAAGAGUAGUAGCCCCAGCUUUCAGUCAUCUAUAAAAGUGAAAGGCUGAGUUUUAAAACCAGUAGUAAAAGGACCACUUGUGUUCUCUUUGGGGACUGUCUUCAGAUUUAGAAGUUGUGACAUUUGGUAAAUUAUAUGAUACUGUUGUUUUGCCUUUCAUUUAUUCUUAGGGACUGAAUUUAAUAAUUGACAGAAGCAUUCAGAAAUGUGUUUUGGGAAGAUGAGGUUGGAGAUGAAUGGUAGAAAGUUGGUUUUGAAGUGCUUCUGUGAUAAAUAUUUUUCGUCAUGCUGUAGGUGUCUGCUUGUAUGGUGUCUUCAAAGCAGUAGUUGGUGAGGUAUCUAUUGCGUCAGGAGUCACUGUUCCAAAUCCUGCUAUUUCUUUUUUACAAUAAUUGGAAAGAAAAUUCCUUCCUAAUACUGCCUCACCAGCAUUUAUUUAAAUAUCUGUCAUUUGUUCUUGAAAUUUAAACUUCUUGCAGUUCUGCUGGAACAUGUCUGUUCUGCUGAUUAGGUGAGGAUCACUGAGCACACUCCUUGGCUCUGAAGGAGAGUUUAAAUCUCCUGGGAAAGGUGCCCACCUGGUGACAUUCACUGAAAUCUCCUCUGCCACAGGAUUGCUAACCAAAUAGACUCGGCAAAAGUAACUGAAUCAGAGAAAUUAAUACAGGUACUGACAAGGUAGCAGUAGCUUGCUGGUCUCAUUCUUUAUCAUAUUUUGUGCACAUGUUUUUGCAGAGAUGGGAUAUAUUGAUUAGGUCCAUAGCUCAGGAGAGAGCACGGCUCCAACUUAGUUCCUUCUUCAUAGGGAAAACUUUGAAGCAUUGCACAAAACUGCAGUUUUUGGAAGUGUGUAUCCAAGUUAUGUUGCUGAAAUCUGGAUGGUCUUGAUUGAGGCAGCUUAUCUGAAGAAGCUUUCUGACAAGGUCUAUCAUGAUUCUGCAUAUAUUCUCUGUGCAUCAGUGAAGGAAAAAAAUGAAUGAGAAAUGUGCAGAAAUCUGCAGGUUUCACACUUGAGCCUUAGAAGGGAGAAUGAGAGCCCAGAGUGGCUUCACUGUUUACAUGAACCAGAAUUCAAGAACCAUGUGUUCAGUCCUGGAGAAUGGAGGUUUUUUUCCUGUUUCCUCCUGCUCCCCAAUCUUUUGCAGGCUUUCCUCUCAACUGGAUACUGUUAUAUUUUCUGAAUAUCUGAAUAAUGUUGACUGGGGGAGGAUCAGAGGGUGUCUAUGCUUUGCUAGAUGUUGAGCUGUGUUUCAGUGGAGCCUUCUGUCUUGAGAGCUGAAUGCAGAAUAAUAAGAACAGUGUACAACUUGAAGCGACCAUGAGUGUUGUAACAUGCCUAAAUGUAAAACACUGAGUAAAAAGAUUGGAUUUGUAUUGAUGUAGAUCAGUUAAAACCAUAGAGAACACAAGCAAAAUGUUCUUGCUGUUGAUCUCUCACCUAGGAAGGUGUCAUCUGGCAGCUGGUCAUAACAUGAACAUUUUCACAUUCCUGCACAGCUUUAUUCUAGCCUAGUUGGCAAGAAGAAUCUGAUUCUUUUUUUUUUUUUUUUUUCUUCCAGGGUGUUUCUUUUCCUCCCCUCCCCCUUCCCCUUGCCUUUUAUGUAAUGAGAUGCUUUGCCAUGCUAUGAAUGAGCUGCAAAGUAAUUGAAAAAGGAGUUUCCUGAAACGGGCAGGUUCUGCUCCUCAGAGAUGUGAACAGACUGGAGAUUAUGUAGCUGUAUGCAGUGGUUUGAGGACAUUUUAAAAAUACACUAGAUAGUUAAAAGGUAUUGAUACAUAGAAUAGCAGCCAAGUGGGACUCCAUUUGAACUGUAGGAUGUGUAGGAUAUCAGUUCUGGAAAAACUCACUGUCUUGGGAAAUUUCUCUUUGUUUCCUUUCCUCCUUGCAGAGUGCUCUGUAUAAAUAAUUGGUGUACAUUUUUAAAAUUGCGUUGUGUGAAAGAGCUAAUCUUUGCAGCAUAUGGUAUUAGUCUUUUUCUGUGCUUAUUUAUGCUUUUUCUUAAGCUGCUUUAUGUUGUGUGAAAAAAAAGCUAAGAAUAGAGGAAGUGAGUUCAGUGGUUUCCAUUUCCAGCAUAACGUACAGUUGACAGCUCUCAUCUGCCACAGGUCAGAGGUGGUUUGGGUAUUAAGGUAGUUCUUUCCUUAAAAAUCUGACAAUAGGUGGAUUUGAAUGCUGAUUUUAGAGUUGUGAUAGUCAUGGAAAUUCUCAAGCAGCUCACUUUAUGGCUGACUUGGUUAAAACAAAACCACAUGCAUUUUUGCUUGCUGUUCUUGCUUUUAUAUGAAGUUCCCUAGGUUGUCACUAAAAAUGGCAAUGAGUCUUGGCCCUGUCAGAUAAGAGAGAUGUUUCAUAAAGGGUGUAACAGAGGUCAGGUCCUAUUUAAGGACAGCAAAACCCAGAUCUAGUUUUUAUUACCCACUGAGUAGAAAAACUUGUAGAUAAUGUAAAAAUCUGAUAAAAUCAAAUUGUUUUGUUGUUAAAGUAAUAUUCUAUGCAUAUGUAUCAUAGAGUUCCAGUAAAUAUAAUCAAAUCCUGAUAUCUUGGUCUUGAACAGGACUGCAGGGCAACAUCAGAGUAUAUUUACAUGCCAAAAUAGCUGAAAAAAGUGUUUAUAUGUUCAAGAUGAAGAAAAAGAGAUGUCUACAGGUUCUACCCUUGUCCUGAAUGUCAGCAGGUUCAUUUUUUCUUAUUUUUUUAAGUAAUAAUGGAUCUGCACCUGUGCCUUCAUUAACUUCAAACUAUUUAAAAUUUUAUGUAUACACACACACAUACAUGCCUAUGGCACAGUUUCUGUGAGUAACUUCCUUAUGCAAGUAAAAUAUGAAAAUAUAUGUAAUUUAUGUGAAUAAAUAUUGUUGCAUGUUUUAAUAUGCAUGGUGUAUAAUUAGUGUGUGUCUAUAUAUAGAUAUAUAUAUAUAUAUAAAUAUCUGAAACUACAUGCAGUUAGUGUAUGGCAAGAGAUAAAGAAGACUUAUCUGUUGAUUAACACAUUACUCUUAAGUAGUACUGUAGCCUAUCAGGUUUGUCAAUCUUACUCCCUCUUAAUUUUAUUUUUGGGGGGUCUGAACAGAAUAAAAAUUUAAAAGGUACUUUAUUAUCUGAGAAUAGGUAAAUGCCUGCAAAUGGAAUUGCUUGAAAUGACAGUCUUUUAAACACAGGUAAUUCUGAUGGCUUCCAAAGAUACAAGGAUCUGUUAGCUGCCAUAGUAGUGUCUGCUUGAAAAACAUGAGUAAACACUCUAUGGGCUUCUCUUACAAACUUUUUAUAAAAUCCUUUGAACUAAUUAUUAUAUCUUUAUUUAAGGCAUAUUUGGGUAAUGUCGGUGUAAGUGUACGUGAGGUACUCUGUAGCAGUGCUACAAUUCUAAUUUCUGUUCCAGAUAAAGCCUGGGAGAUGCUUGAAUGUCCUCCUAGUGUAACAGCAUUUCUUGGUCAGGUUUUAGAAAUACUGUUAAGACAAGAGGAUGUAUGUUCUCACACUGACAGACUGCUUAGGAGAAAUCUCACAGGACUGUGAUCUGGACACAGCCUGUUUCUUCUAAUUUGGUCUGUGUCAUUAGAUUUCUGUAUCAUCUUGGAACUUACAUAUUCAGUAUGUUUUAACUUUGUUUUAAAGGAAAAAUUCAGAAUUUGAAGAACAGGUACAUGACAGAGGUGAAAAGGUGAGUCAGCAAGUCAGUCUUUUAGCAGAGCACAGCCAGAGCAUUGCUUCAGAAACAUGUGUUUAUUGGAAUCAAAGGCAAGAGGUUAUAUAAGCCAGAUUGGCAGAAUGCUUGACACAACUGGCAAAAAUUAUGUUAAAAAAAUGCUGGCAAAAAUGAUGCUAUAGUGUUUUUUAUUUGGGGCUUCUGAGCAGGUGGCCAGGCUGGAUAACCUCCCAAGGUCCUUCUGGAGCCAGAUUGUGUGACUUUGUGUGCACAUACAGAUGUGUAUAAACACAUACAGGGAUGGCACAAGGUUGAAUAAGAGAGGAGAGAUUUCCUGAAGGCCCCAGGCUCUGUGGCUGUGCUGGGCUGCUGGAAUGGUGCACUUGGAAACAGUGCAGAGGGUGUAGAGAGGGCUUGUGUUGUCAUGCUCCUGCUGCUCUUAGUCACACUGGCAGGAUGGAGCUGGCAUGUGGAUGUGCCUGUGCUUGUCGUACUUGUUGCUGCUUUUGUCUGGAACUGGGCUUAGGGAGGGAAAGAGCAAGACAUUCUCUGCCUGAUUUGUCCACUUAUAGAAGUUUAGCUGGCAGCUGUGUUGCAGAAAUUUACUGGUAUGUAUUGAGGAUGUGUACACACAUAUACACUUCUCUUUGUAUAAUAUAACAUAUAUUAUAUAUAAUAAAUAUAUCUCCAUCCUUUCUAUACAUUUGUUUACAGAGCAGUCUUUUAAAGUUUUGGUUUUUUUUCCUUAGUUACAGAAAAACAUUCCUGUAGAACAGUAAGCUUAAAGACAAGGAAAUUUAGAAAGGUAAAAGCAAAUCUGUUUCCAAAUGCAGUCUUUGUUCUCAGGCCAUCUUUUAAGUUAUGUAGUGUUACAAGUUUGAAGUCUUUCCAAAGGACAUUAUCUCAAUAUUAGCUGUAGUUGGUCAGAAAUAUUUGUCCUUAUCCUGGAGUGUCCUACAGUCCCUUGUCAACCGCGGUGAGUAACAGAAGCUGUAAAGCUGACUUUGCUUGCUGUGAGAGGAUUUUCUGAGAAUAGAAAGAUGUGACUGUCUCCUCAAGUAGUCCUGCACAGUUUGUUCUCCUCUGAUGCCCCUCUGUUCCACCUCCUCCUCCCAGGGAUACGUACAUGGAGUUCUGCAGCACUGGGAAGUUCAGCCAUGACUGAUCUCCCUGUACUCCAGCACUCACACGUAAUGGCAUCAGGAGAGCUUGGAAGAAAAAAUAGCCUUUAAAGUUCUGAUUCACCUGAAGUAGCUUGGGGGUGGGAAUUUGUAGGCCUGGUUUGUUCUGUUUAUGAUAGUUAAGUAGGUGUAUAGGAUGGAGUGAUGUGCUUUUCUGCUGAGGAGCCCAGAGGAGUUUUCUGCUUAAGGUUUCUCCCCCAGCAAAAUCCAAGUGUUGCCCUGUGAGGUGAUCAGACAUUUAUGAAGGGCUGUAUUAGCUGAGCAUGUCUGUUAUUAAAUUGUUUUUCUUUUAUCUGACCAGAAGUGCUUGACAGGUUUCAAUAAUUCCUGAAAUCCCAGAUUCCAAUUAUGUCUAAAUUGAAGCUAAGUUUUGUGAAGAUCAGUAUUUAAGCAUCAAUAAAAAGUUUUGCCAGUCAUCUCUCUUGUUUCUUGGAAGUGUUUGUCUUUGUUUAUUGUAAAUUGAGAACUAUCAGUUAAUUAUUCCUUAUUGUAACUAAUGCAGUUGAGAAAUUAUUCCAGGCUAGAGACAGUUUGGCAUCUCACAGGCAUCUGCCAGGGAAAGGCUGGGUGGCAGUCACUGUUGCUUUUGCCACACCUGUCCCUACAAUAAUUUUUUGGAGUAUACCUGAAAUAAACCUGAAAAAUCAUAUGGUUGACUCUUAGUUAAAUCUGUUUCCUGAUUCAUUUCACCAUAUUGUGGAAUAAAUUCUGGUUCUGUUCAAAGGGAAGAAGCAGCAGUAAGGGCCCAGAGGUAAGAAAAUUGGACAGUCCAUUUUAGACUAGCUUAAAGUACUAAUGCAUUUUUUUUCCCCCAGUAAAGACUUUCUCAGGAGUUUGCAAGAACACCAAUGGUAAAGUUAUUUUCUGGAGUUUCAUGGUUAUACUUGAGUAUUUGGUUGUGUAGGGUUAUCCGUGCUUUAGGUUAAAUGCCUGCUUUUGCCAAACCUGCCACUUCUUUUGCUGGUUCUGACUUUUGGAAUGUGAGAGAGAUGCAGAGCAAAGCACUUCUUCCAUAUUUUCCAAAUUUCUUACUGAAUUAGAGGGCCUUUUUCAGGCAGGGAUGUUUCUUUAUUCAACACUGAUUUGUGCAGUCAGUUGCCCAGUUCUGGUAGCAGUAAGGUGUUCAAUUCUGUUGCUCUGCAAAGCAUGAGCUGUUCUGUUCUUUUGGUGUGUCUGUCUGACCUCUUGAAAAGUUUCUCUGUAAACUUUUGUACUCUGAUCUCAAGUUCUGUGUUGUUAGACUGUGGAGUGUGUCAUCCAUGUCCUUCAAAAGCCAGUGCUCUGAUGUUGGGAUAUGCAAGGUUCUCUCAGCAGCUACAUGGCAUGCUUUAUCUUGAAAGGAAAAUGAGAAUUUGCUUCCUUUUUGUUGCCCUCCCGACCACUUGUCUACUAAGAAGUCUACUUGACUACUAAGAAAUUUAAAAUAUUUUUAUAAUAACCAGUCUGGUGAUUUUAAGAGUAGUUAUUCAGCAGAGAUUCCAAACCAGCAGUGUCCUCAGCAGUGCUCUGCUCCCCUCUCUAAGGCACAUGUGGUGAUUCCAGCCAGUUCCAAGCAGUGCCACAGGUCCAGCACUCCAUGACAGCUUCUCAUUCCUUGCUGAACACCUCUCAGUCCCUUUGGCUCAUCUUUCUGUCAGCCCUUUUAACUGCCCCAAGGACACCUGGUCUCACCUGAUCUCAGACUCUGGCAGUCAUGCCAGCCUCUCCUGGGCACCCCUCACUGUGUUUCGUGCCAGGGAGCUGUGCCUGCUCUUGGCCAGGUGGGAAGCCCAGCCUUUUCUGCCUGGGUGAUGGUGGUGGUGGUCCUGUGCCAGUCAUUGCAUUCCCCAGUCUUCUGAAUUCCUGCACAGCCAGCAUUAAUGUCAGGAACAGGAUUAUUCUUUAAAGGGUGGUCGUGUGAGGAAGUGAAAUGAGGUUUGUACCUGGCUCCCUCCCUGCUAAGGCUCACUUACCUUUGACAGAAUUGCAUAAUGUAUGUUCUGUAACUAAUAGCUGAAUGAGAAAUUAGUGUGUAGGAAAUAAAUUUACCUGAUGCAACCCUUGUGGUGGUGGUAAGUCUGGAUGGUGUGCUUCUUGGGGAGUAAUGAGGGCUAAUGACUUGGAAGUAAAUUAGGCAACUCAUGUGUCUUUUUUCCCUU